CAAUAGCGUAUAUUAAAGUUGUUGCAGUUAAAAAGCUCGUAGUUGGAUUUCGGGGCAGCCUGGCUGGUCCGCCGCAAGGCGAGUACUGGUCAGCCGCCCUUCCUCUCGAAAGCCCCGACUGCUCUUCGUUGCAGUGGUCGGGUAGUUCGGGACGUUUACUUUGAAAAAAUUAGAGUGUUCAAGGCAGGCCUACGCCUGAAUACAUUAGCAUGGAAUAAUGGAAGAGGACCUCGGUCCUAUUUUGCUGGUUUCCAGGGCCGAAGUAAUGAUUAAGAGGGACAGUUGGGGGCAUUCGUAUUUAAUUGUCAGAGGUGAAAUUCUCGGAUUUAUGAAAGACGAACAACUGCGAAAGCAUUUGCCAAGGAUGUUUUCAUUAA
rnacentral:rRNA from 1 species